AUGCGUAUGAAUAUGCCGCAAGGUCUCACGCCUGCUCCUGCAUCCAUGACGAUCCCGAUGUCGCAUUCCUCAAGGCCGACGCUCGGGUUCCCCCUCGGCACGGCGCUCCUGCUCCUCGUCAUCUUCUCCCUCAGCGGCAUCUUCUCCUGCUGCUACCACUGGGACAGGCUCCGCUCCCUCCUCUGGUCUCGGCAUCCCGGCAUGCUCCAGGACGGCCCGCACACCGUCAUCUCCGUCGGACCAACGCCGAGCAAGGCAUCUUCUGAGCACAAGAGCGAGAAAGCUGGAAAAGAGUGCGGGUUGCCCGUGAUCAUGCCCGGGGAUAACAUCGCGAAGUUCUACGCGAGGCCCUGCCCGCACGAGGCGUGUUUAUCUGCAGCAGCAGAGAAGGGCGAAGUCGAGGUGCAAGUCAGAUGUUCAGUUUCGUGA
rnacentral:rRNA from 1 species